GGAUAAAAGGUACUCCGGGGAUAACAGGCUGAUACCGCCCAAGAGUUCAUAUCGACGGCGGUGUUUGGCACCUCGAUGUCGGCUCAUCACAUCCUGGGGCUGAAGUAGGUCCCAAGGGUAUGGCUGUUCGCCAUUUAAAGUGGUACGCGAGCUGGGUUUAGAACGUCGUGAGACAGUUCGGUCCCUAUCUGCCGUGGGCGCUGGAGAACUGAGGGGGGCUGCUCCUAGUACGAGAGGACCGGAGUGGACGCAUCACUGGUGUUCGGGUUGUCAUGCCAAUGGCACUGCCCGGUAGCUAAAUGCGGAAGAGAUAAGUGCUGAAAGCAUCUAAGCACGAAACUUGCCCCGAGAUGAGUUCUCCCUGAGACUUAGAGUCUCCUGAAGGAACGUUGAAGACGACGACGUUGAUAGGCCGGGUGUGUAAGCGCAGCGAUGCGUUGAGCUAACCGGUACUAAUGAACCGUGAGGCUUAACCUUACA
rnacentral:rRNA from 1 species